rnacentral:rRNA from 1 species
AUGGUAGUCUGUUCSACUUUUAAACAAUUACAUGAAUUGAGUUCAGACCGGUGUAAACCAGGUCGGUUUCUAUCUUUUUCAUAAUUUAUUGUAGUACGAAAGGACCUAAUAA